AGACGUAGGAGGCGAGCGUUAUCCGGAUUUAUUGGGCGUAAAGGGCGAGUAGGCGGUUGAUUAAGUUGGACGUGACAUCUUCUGGCUCAACCAGGAGGGGUCGUACAAAACUGGUCAACUAGAGGGCAGGAGAGGAAAGUGGAAUUCCCGAAGUAGCGGUGGAAUGCUUAGAUAUCGGGAGGAACACCAGUGGCGAAAGCGGCUUUCUGGCCUGACCCUGACGCUAAGGAGCGAAAGCUAGGGUAGCAAACGGGCUUAGAUACCCCGGUAGUCCUAGCCGUAAACGAUGGAUACUGGGUAUUGGGGGGUAGUACCCGCAGUGCCGAAGCAAACGCGUUAAGUAUCCCGCCUGGGGACUACGGUCGCAAGGCUAAA
rnacentral:rRNA from 1 species